rnacentral:rRNA from 1 species
GCCAGACUCCUACGGGAGGCAGCAGUGGGGAAUAUUGGGCAAUGGGCGCAAGCCUGACCCAGCAAUGCCGCGUGAAGGAAGAAGGCUUUCGGGUUGUAAACUUCUUUGACAGGGGAAGAGCAGAAGACGGUACCCUGAAAACAAGCCACGGCUAACUACGUGCCAGCAGCCGCGGUAAUACGUAGGGAGCGAGCGUUGUCCGGAAUUACUGGGUGUAAAGGGAGCGUAGGCGGGACUGCAAGUUGGGUGUCAAAUCUACCGGCUCAACCGGUAGCCGCACUCAAAACUGCAGUUCUUGAGUGAAGUAGAGGCAGGCGGAAUUCCUAGUGUAGCGGUGAAAUGCGUAGAUAUUAGGAGGAACACUAGUGGCGAAGGCGGCCUGCUGGGCUUUUACUGACGCUGAGGCUCGAAAGUGUGGGGAGCAAACAGGAUUAGAUACCCCAGUA